rnacentral:pre_miRNA from 1 species
ACAUCCACAUGUUGUUGACUUGCUAUAGCCCCCCUCUCGACGCCGAGUCAACAACAUGUGGAUGUGU